ACCCAAAAACAAACAAAGAAACAAACAAAAAUGUUAGAAACACUUUCAGUCUGCAUUUCAGGCAUUGCAUUUAGAAUGCUGCGCAGUUACGUCAUUGCGCGCGCCCAAAUUCAAACGUAAUCAAAAUACCGCCAAAUUACGCACAUUCAGGAUCGAGACCAACGGAUGAAAAUGUUUGCUUAAGCCUUGUCUGUGAAACCAGGGGCGUUUAAAAAUAUCAUAGCCCUAGUUGUAACUUUAGAUUCUACAUUUUGUUUUCCCCUUUUUCCCACAGAGACAGUCCACCCUAGAAAAACCAACGAGGACUCAACAUCAGUCCAGUCCAAAACUUCUGAGCAAAUGAAAAUGCAGGCCAAGCUUUUUAAGAAUAAGGAAGUUGUUCUUGCGGAAGCGGAUAUUUAACUUCAUAUCUUGUUAAGUAUAAUUAUUAUUAUUUAUUAAUAAUAGUAGUAAUAGUAUAGAAAAUAUGUGAUGCAAAGCUAAAUUGUAUCAGGCCCCCUAAACACUUUUUGUUAAAGCAAUCUUCUAUUUAUUAACAUAACUUUAAUAUUGAUUCAUGUUUGCCUUUCCUCACAGCUGGAAAUUCACCCAGGCUCAGGAAUUGUGUUGUGGUCAUGCAAACAGCCUCACUGCUAUGGCAUGGAUGCUUCUUCUUGGAGUAUUUUGACACUUUUGCUAAAGCGCAAUCUCAGAGGUGGCAAGUCUAAAAAAAGCAAGCCCUGGGGAAACAAAGGAGGCCUUGGACAGAACAAAAAUUGGUGCAAUAAUGAAUGCAGUGAUCCAGAGAUCUCCUGGAACCACCAGGGGCCAACUAAGGGUCGCUAUUAAUCAAAAGGUCACUGAGCUGCGGACAUCCAAAAAGACUCUAAAACUUAAAAAAUGAACAGCAUGCAUCAUAUACCUGGGGCCUGUACCAUGAAGGUAGUUGAACAAACUCAGUGUUAUAGGAUGAGUAACUUGUUAAUUUAGUUUGUAUAGUUGAUAAUAUUGAUAGAGACUCAAACAUGUAAGGUCACAUCAUAUUUAAAGUUUAUUUACAGCUUAUUUAUAUUACAUAUGAUCUGUAUAUAUAUUAAUAUUCAUUGGAACUAAAUGCUUAAUAACUGUUAAACUAAAAUUUUAACUAAAAUCGCUUGUUUAAUGAAUUGGUGGAUUUUCCUGUUCUGGGCUUGUUUUGUUGAGUGUUCAUUAGUUUUCUAAUUUUGCACAACUUAAUUUUUUUUUUUUAAUAAUUUAAUCUUUUAAUAAAGAUUUAAUGUUUUAAC